rnacentral:rRNA from 1 species
GACGAACGCUGGCGGCGUGCCUAAUACAUGCAAGUUGAGCGCUGAAGGUUGGUACUUGUACCAACUGGAUGAGCAGCGAACGGGUGAGUAACGCGUGGGGAAUCUGCCUUUGAGCGGGGGACAACAUUUGGAAACGAAUGCUAAUACCGCAUAAAAACUUUAAACACAAGUUUUAAGUUUGAAAGAUGCAAUUGCAUCACUCAAAGAUGAUCCCGCGUUGUAUUAGCUAGUUGGUGAGGUAAAGGCUCACCAAGGCGAUGAUACAUAGCCGACCUGAGAGGGUGAUCGGCCACAUUGGGACUGAGACACGGCCCAAACUCCUACUGGAGGCAGCAGUAGGGAAUCUUCGGCAAUGGACGAAAGUCUGACCGAGCAACGCCGCGUGAGUGAAGAAGGGUUUCGGAUCGUAAAACUCUGUUGGUAGAGAAGAACGUUGGUGAGAGUGGAAAGCUCAUCAAGUGACGGUAACUACCCAGAAAGGGACGGCUAACUACGUG